AGCAGCCGCGGUAAUUCCAGCUCCAAUAGCGUAUAUUAAAGUUGUUGCAGUUAAAAAGCUCGUAGUUGAAUUUCGGGAUCAAUAUGUCGGUCGUGCUUUUUGGUACGUACUGGCGUCAUUGGUUUCUCCUUUCUGACGAACCAUGAUGUCAUUAAUUUGGUGUUAUGGGGAAUUAGGACUGUUACUUUGAAAAAAUUAGAGUGUUUAAAGCAGGCUCACGCUUGAAUACAUUAGCAUGGAAUAAUGAAAUAGGACGUAUGAUCCUAUUUUGUUGGUUUCUAGGAUUGACGUAAUGAUUAAUAGGGAUAGUUGGGGGCAUUAGUAUUCAAUUGUCAGAGGUGAAAUUCUUGGAUUUAUUGAAGACUAACUACUGCGAAAGCAUUUGCCAAGGAUGUUUUCAUUAAUCAAGAACGAAAGUUAGGGGAUCGAAGACGAUCAGAUACCGUCGUAGUCUUAACCAUAAACUAUGCCGACUAGGGAUCGGAUGAUGUUAAUUUUUUAAUGACUCAUUCGGCGCCUU
rnacentral:rRNA from 1 species